rnacentral:tRNA from 1 species
UCUCUGGUGGUCCAGGGGUUAAGACUCUGCAUUUUCAAUGCGGGGGCCCUGAGUUCAACCCCUGGUCAGGGAA